rnacentral:rRNA from 1 species
UACCGCCUACGGGGCGCAGCAGUGAGGAAUAUUGGUCAAUGGGAGAGAUCCUGAACCAGCCAAGCCGCGUGAGGGAAGACGGCCCUAUGGGUUGUAAACCUCUUUUGUCAGGGAGCAACGCCGGCUACGUGUAGCCGGACUGAGAGUACCUGAAGAAAAAGCAUCGGCUAACUCCGUGCCAGCAGCCGCGGUAAUACGGAGGAUGCGAGCGUUAUCCGGAUUUAUUGGGUUUAAAGGGUGCGUAGGCGGAAUGCCAAGUCAGCGGUAAAAUCGCGGGGCUCAACCUCGCUCCGCCGUUGAAACUG